ACGAACGCUGGCGGCGUGCCUAAUACCUGCAAGUUGAGCGCUGAAGGUUGGUACUUGUACCGACUGGAUGAGCAGCGAACGGGUGAGUAACGCGUGGGGAAUCUGCCUUUGAGCGGGGGACAACAUUUGGAAACGAAUGCUAAUACCGCAUAAAAACUUUAAACACAAGUUUUCAGUUUGAAAGAUGCAAUUGCAUCACUCAAAGAUGAUCCCGCGUUGUAUUAGCUAGUUGGUGAGGUAAAGGCUCACCAAGGCGAUGAUACAUAGCCGACCUGAGAGGGUGAUCGGCCACAUUGGGACUGAGACACGGCCCAAACUCCUACGGGAGGCAGCAGUAGGGAAUCUUCGGCAAUGGACGAAAGUCUGACCGAGCAACGCCGCGUGAGUGAAGAAGGUUUUCGGAUCGUAAAACUCUGUUGGUAGAGAAGAACGUUGGUGAGAGUGGAAAGCUCAUCAAGUGACGGUAACUACCCAGAAAGGGACGGCUAACUACGUG
rnacentral:rRNA from 1 species